rnacentral:rRNA from 1 species
CGAGCGGAGAGAGGUAGCUUGCUACUGAUCUUAGCGGCGGACGGGUGAGUAAUGCUUAGGAAUCUGCCUAUUAGUGGGGGACAACAUUUCGAAAGGAAUGCUAAUACCGCAUACGUCCUACGGGAGAAAGCAGGGGAUCUUCGGACCUUGCGCUAAUAGAUGAGCCUAAGUCGGAUUAGCUAGUUGGUGGGGUAAAGGCCUACCAAGGCGACGAUCUGUAGCGGGUCUGAGAGGAUGAUCCGCCACACUGGGACUGAGACACGGCCCAGACUCCUACGGGAGGCAGCAGUGGGGAAUAUUGGACAAUGGGCGGAAGCCUGAUCCAGCCAUGCCGCGUGUGUGAAGAAGGCCUUAUGGUUGUAAAGCACUUUAAGCGAGGAGGAGGCUACUUUAGUUAAUACCUAGAGAUAGUGGACGUUACUCGCAGAAUAAGCACCGGCUAACUCUGUGCCAGCAGCCGCGGUAAUACAGAGGGUGCAAGCGUUAAUCGGAUUUACUGGGCGUAAAGCGCGCGUAGGCGGCUAAUUAAGUCAAAUGUGAAAUCCCCGAGCUUAACUUGGGAAUUGCAUUCGAUACUGGUUAGCUAGAGUGUGGGAGAGGAUGGUAGAAUUCCAGGUGUAGCGGUGAAAUGCGUAGAGAUCUGGAGGAAUACCGAUGGCGAAGGCAGCCAUCUGGCCUAACACUGACGCUGAGGUGCGAAAGCAUGGGGAGCAAACAGGAUUAGAUACCCUGGUAGUCCAUGCCGUAAACGAUGUCUACUAGCCGUUGGGGCCUUUGAGGCUUUAGUGGCGCAGCUAACGCGAUAAGUAGACCGCCUGGGGAGUACGGUCGCAAGACUAAAACUCAAAUGAAUUGACGGGGGCCCGCACAAGCGGUGGAGCAUGUGGUUUAAUUCGAUGCAACGCGAAGAACCUUACCUGGCCUUGACAUAGUAAGAACUUUCCAGAGAUGGAUUGGUGCCUUCGGGAACUUACAUACAGGUGCUGCAUGGCUGUCGUCAGCUCGUGUCUUGAGAUGUUGGGUUAAGUCCCGCAACGAGCGCAACCCUUUUCCUUAUUUGCCAGCGAGUAAUGUCGGGAACUUUAAGGAUACUGCCAGUGACAAACUGGAGGAAGGCGGGGAGGACGUCAAGUCAUCAUGGCCCUUACGGCCAGGGCUACACACGUGCUACAAUGGUCGGUACAAAGGGUUGCUACCCAGCGAUAGGAUGCUAAUCUCAAAAAGCCGAUCGUAGUCCGGAUUGGAGUCUGCAACUCGACUCCAUGAAGUCGGAAUCGCUAGUAAUCGCGGAUCAGAAUGCCGCGGUGAAUACGUUCCCGGGCCUUGUACACACCGCCCGUCACACCAUGGGAGUUUGUUGCACCAGA